rnacentral:rRNA from 2 species
UACAGAGGUCCCGAGCGUUGUUCGGAUUCACUGGGCGUAAAGGGUGCGUAGGUGGUUGGGUAAGUUUGAUGUGAAAGCUCAGGGCUUAACCCUGAAAUGGCAUUGAAUACUACUCAACUGGAGGUUUGGAGGGGGGACUGGAAUUCUUGGUGUAGCAGUGAAAUGCGUAGAUAUCAAGAGGAACACCAGUGGCGAAGGCGAGUCCCUGGACAACACCUGACACUGAGGCACGAAAGCUAGGGGAGCAAACAGG